GAUGAACGCUGGCGGCGUGCUUAACACAUGCAAGUCGAGCGAAGCACUAAAGCGGAUUUCUUCGGAUUGAAGGUUUAGUGACUGAGCGGCGGACGGGUGAGUAACGCGUGGGUAACCUGCCUCAUACAGGGGGAUAACAGUUGGAAACGGCUGCUAAUACCGCAUAAGCGCACAGUACCGCAUGGUACGGUGUGAAAAACUCCGGUGGUAUGAGAUGGACCCGCGUCUGAUUAGGUAGUUGGUGGGGUAACGGCCUACCAAGCCGACGAUCAGUAGCCGACCUGAGAGGGUGACCGGCCACAUUGGGACUGGGACACGGCCCAAACUCCUACGGGAGGCAGCAGUGGGGAAUAUUGCACAAUGGGGGAAACCCUGAUGCAGCGACGCCGCGUGAGCGAAGAAGUAUUUCGGUAUGUAAAGCUCUAUCAGCAGGGAAGAAAAUGACGGUACCUGACWAG
rnacentral:rRNA from 1 species